GACGAACGCUGGCGGCGUGCUUAACACAUGCAAGUCGAACGGACAGGCCCUGCUUUUGUGGGGUGCUCGAGUGGCGAACGGGUGAGUCACACGUGAAUAACCUGCCCUUGACUUUGGGAUAACUUCAGGAAACUGGGGCUACUACCGGAUAGGAGCUCCUGCUGCAUUGUGGGGGUUGGAAAGUUUCGGCGGUUGGGGAUGGACUCGCGGCUUAUCAGCUUGUUGGUGGGGUAGUGGCUUACCAAGGCUUUGACGUGUAGCAGGCCUGGGAGGGUGACAGGCUAAGUUAGGUUUGAGAUACGGCCCAGACUACUACGGGAGGCAGCGGUGGGGAAGAGUGCACAGUAGGCGGAAGCCAGAUGUGGUAACGCCGCGUGGGGGAAGACGGCCUUGGGGUUGUGAUGUGAUGUUGCCUGUGCGGAGGCGUGAGUGACGGUAACGGGUAAAGAAGCACCGGCUAACUACGUG
rnacentral:rRNA from 1 species